rnacentral:rRNA from 1 species
GUACCCGCUGAACUUAAGCAUAUCAAUAAGCGGAGGAAAAGAAACCAACAGGGAUUGCCUCAGUAACGGCGAGUGAAGCGGCAACAGCUCAAAUUUUAAAGCUGGCGUCUUUGGCGUCCGCGUUGUAAUUUGGAGAGGCAUCUUCGGUUUGGGCGCCAGCCUAUGUUCCUUGGAACAGGACGUCACAGAGGGUGAGAAUCCCGUGCCUGGCUGGCUGUCCCUUUCCAUGUGAAGUGCCUUCGACGAGUCGAGUUGUUUGGGAAUGCAGCUCAAAAUGGGUGGUAAAUUUCAUCUAAAGCUAAAUAUUGGCGGGAGACCGAUAGCGCACAAGUAGAGUGAUCGAAAGAUGAAAAGCACUUUGAAAAUAGAGUUAAAAAGUACGUGAAAUUGUUGAAAGGGAAGCGCUUGAGACCAGACUCGGCCGGAGAUGAUCAGCCGUCCUUCUGGGCGGUGCACUCGUUUCCGGCCGGGCCAGCAUCGGUUGAGACGGCGGGAUAAAGGCCCGGGGAAUGUGGCUCCUUUCGGGGAGUGUUAUAGCCCCGGGCGCAAUGCCGCCAGCCUCGACCGAGGACCGCGCUUAAUUGCUAGGAUGCUGGCGUAAUGGUCUUCAGCGACCCGUCUUGAAACACGGACCAAGGAGUCUAAGAUCUAUGCGAGUGUUUGGGUGUCAAACCCUUGCGCGUAAUGAAAGUGAACGGAGGUGGGAACCCCUCGCGGGGCGCACCAUCAACCGGUCCUGAUGUCUUCGGAUGGAUCUGAGUAGGAGCAUAGCUGUUGGGACCCGAAAGAUGGUGAACUAUGCCUGAAUAGGGUGAAGCCAGAGGAAACUNUGGNGGAGGCUCGCAGCGGUUCUGACGUGCAAAUCGAUCGUCAAAUUUGGGUAUAGGGGCGAAAGACUAAUCGAACCAUCUAGUACCUGGUUCCUGCCGAAGUUUCCCUCAGGAUAGCAGUAACGAUCUCAGUUUUAUGAGGUAAAGCGAAUGAUUAGAGGCCUUGGGGUUGCAACAACCUUAACCUAUUCUCAAACUUUAAAUAUGUAAGAAGUCCUUGUUUCUUAGCUGAACGUGGACAUUUGAAUGUAC